AUUGUGCUAUAUAUAGUGGCCGUUCAAACUUGUUAAACAACCUUCUGUUGUUGUUCCUGUAAUCUCUGAUUUGUAGCAUUGUUGGUUUUGCUCUUUUUUUUGUCUUAAAACUUGAUGGGCCAAAGAUCCUUUGUUUGUAUGUUAUCAUCACUAUGAUCUUCAGUUUUCCAUACACUGUGAUCUUCAGUUUUUCAUUGCGUGUUUUUUCUGCAGUUUGCUUGGUGUGUGGACAGGGCCAAAGGACAAGAUGCUUCAAUCCGGCGAGGACAGAGCCAAAUGACCAAAGUUUGUUCAUCUGUUGCCAAGUUUGGUACCAUCCCGUGGGGAGGGCCAGGGACAAGCUGCUCCGAUCCGGCGAGGAUGCCCACCAUCUAUUGUUAAGGGCGUCCGUGGAAGGCCCAGUCCUGACUCUCCAGUGAGCCGGCAUUUGAUCGCUAUUGAAGGAGCUACAUGUAGAAGAAGAAAAUACUUGUAGAGCUUGUAACUGAUUCCCAUAGUUGUAGAGCUUGUAUCAGCUAAGCUUGUAUUACAUGUAACUUGUAGAACUUGUAAAUGCUACAGCUUGUAGGACUUGUCAGUUGUAGAGCUGGUAAAUAAGCUUGUAUAUGCUACAGCUUGUAGGACGUGUCAUUUGUAGAGCUUGUAUUGAAUCUGGCUAUUGUUAUUUGAAGUAUCUUGUGUG